AGAGUUUGAUCCUGGCUCAGGAUGAACGCUAGCUACAGGCUUAACACAUGCAAGUCGAGGGGAAACGACAUCGAAAACUUGCCUUUGAUGGGCGUCGACCGGCGCACGGGUGAGUAACGCGUAUCCAACCUGCCCACCACUUGGGGAUAACCUUGCGAAAGUAAGACUAAUACCCAAUGAUAUCUCUAGAAGACAUCUGAAAGAGAUUAAAGAUUUAUCGGUGAUGGAUGGGGAUGCGUCUGAUUAGCUUGUUGGCGGGGUAACGGCCACCAAGGCUACGAUCAGUAGGGGUUCUGAGAGGAAGGUCCCCCACAUUGGAACUGAGACACGGUCCAAACUCCUACGGAGGCA
rnacentral:rRNA from 1 species